UGGGGAAUAUUGCACAAUGGGCGCAAGCCUGAUGCAGCCAUGCCGCGUGUAUGAAGAAGGCCUUCGGGUUGUAAAGUACUUUCAGCGGGGAGGAAGGGAGUAAAGUUAAUACCUUUACUCAUUGACGUUACCCGCAGAAGAAGCACCGGCUAACUCCGUGCCAGCAGCCGCGGUAAUACGGAGGGUGCAAGCGUUAAUCGGAAUUACUGGGCGUAAAGCGCACGCAGGCGGUUGAUUGAGUCAGAUGUGAAAUCCCCGGGCUUAACCCGGGAAUUGCAUCUGAUACUGGUCAGCUAGAGUCUUGUAGAAGGGGGUAGAAUUCCAUGUGUAGCGGUGAAAUGCGUAGAGAUGUGGAGGAAUACCGGUGGCGAAGGCUGCCCCCUGGACAAAGACUGACUCUCAGGUGCGAAAGCGUGGGGAGCAAACAGG
rnacentral:rRNA from 1 species